GGUGGUCACAGCACACCUUUUGCUCUCAAGUGUCCUGAUUUAGGGCGUAAAUUACAAAGUCGCCCCGACCAACUGGUGUGGAUCUUUUUGAGGUUCGUGUGGCACAUUGCUCAUUUGUCACACAGGUGUGUCACACCGAUUCACACUUCGUUUAUAACCUGUCCCUACGAGACAAGAGCUUGAUGAGAAAAGUUAUGCCGAGAAGUUUGGGAAAGAGAGUUACCUUGUGAGAGUGGAAUUAGUUUUGUGAAAGUCAUAAACGUCUUAAAUCCAUUUCCCCCCUAAAUCUCACAUUUUUGGAACCCACACUGGUCACAUGUGGAGAGUGUGAUUUAUGACUCACCAGCACUUGGACGGGAGCAGUCAUGGUCCCGAAGCUAUGUGGGUUUGGAUCCUGGCUGUCACUUGCCAGUAGCUGUGAGACUUGGAAUGAGUCCCAUGACUGAGCCUCCACUUCCCCUGCGAAAUGGAAAUGAACAUACCCUCGCCUUGGAGAGUCGUCAGGGUUAGGCAUUGGCAUCUGGACCAGGAAAGCCGAGUUCACGCAGUCUGUUAAAUGCAGUUUUUUGCCCUAAUGAGCCAUCCAUCCUGGUUAUUUAGCAGCAACGCCUGAUGCCUCCUGGUUUCCACGCACACACACUCCAGCUUGGUCCCCGAGCCUAGAGGGGCUGCUGUGCUGUGUCACUUGUUGGAGGACCAGAUGGGUGUGUGCAUGGCAGUGGUGAAAGGCUCCUUGCUUCAGUGCCUCCCACGUGCACGUUGUCACCCUGUCAGAAUCCCAGGCUUUCAGGGGCCAUAGCUAGGGGGGCUGCAUGUUAAGAACAUGGUUGCUUUGGGGAUUGUGGCAGAGGGGGGUCGGGGGCCGCUGCUCACCGUCAGGCGGCGCGCGGGUCGGGACCGUGGUGGUCGGCAGCGACAGGGCGGGGCGUCGGAGGCCCGGGCGGCUGGAGGCUGGCGGUCUGGGCCGCGGCCUGGCUCCCCCCUCUUUUGGGCCCAGUGCCUGUGGGCCUCCGGCACGAGGUACACACCGUGCCCGUGAGCCUCCGUCGCAGCCCGAGGAGAGGCGCGCCCUCCUGUCCCUCUGGAAGGGCUGUCUUCGGCAGCUCACCUCAGUCGCCGAGGCUGCCGCUGUAUCUCCUGACCAGUCUCCACUGCAAAGGAGUCUGGGAAACUGCAUAUUUUUAGUAGGGUCCACUGCCAAGCCAAAUAAAACCAGAAUCC
rnacentral:lncRNA from 1 species